GGAUGAAGCUAGGGGUGUUCGGCGCCGCACGGCGGCCGGGCUGAGAGAGUCCCUCCGAACCUGAUCCGGGUCAUGCCGGCGCAGGAAAGCACAGUUCUCCCCCG
rfam:Salinibacter ruber DSM 13855, complete genome.